rnacentral:tRNA from 1 species
GGGGCAUAGCUCAGUGGUAGAGUGCCUGCUUAGUGUGCACAAGACUCUGGAUUCAACCCCCAGCACCA